AAGGAUCAUUACCGAGUGCGGGCUGCCUCCGGGCGCCCAACCUCCCACCCGUGACUACCUAACACUGUUGCUUCGGCGGGGAGCGCCCCUCGGGGAGCGAGCCGCCGGGGACCACCGAACUUCAUGCCUGAGAGUAAUGCAGUCUGAGCCUGAAUAGUAUAAUCAGUCAAAACUUUCAACAAUGGAUCUCUUGGUUCCGGCAUCGAUGAAGAACGCAGCGAACUGCGAUAAGUAAUGUGAAUUGCAGAAUUCAGUGAAUCAUCGAGUCUUUGAACGCACAUUGCGCCCCCUGGCAUUCCGGGGGGCAUGCCUGUCCGAGCGUCAUUGCUGCCCAUCAAGCCCGGCUUGUGUGUUGGGUCGUCGUCCCUCCUUCCGGGGGGGACGGACCCGAAAGGCAGCGGCGGCACCGUGUCCGGUCCUCGAGCGUAUGGGGCUUUGUCACCCGCUCGACUAGGGCCGGCCGGGCGCCAGCCGGCGUCUCCAACCAUUUUCUUCAGGUUGACCUCGGAUCAGGUAGGGAUACCCGCUGAACUUAAGCAUAUCAAUAAGCGGAGGAAAAGAAACCAACCGGGAUUGCCCCAGUAACGGCGAGUGAAGCGGCAAGAGCUCAAAUUUGAAAUCUGGCCCCUCCGGGGUCCGAGUUGUAAUUUGCAGAGGAUGCUUCGGGUACGGCCCCUGUCUAAGUGCCCUGGAACGGGCCGUCAGAGAGGGUGAGAAUCCCGUCUUGGGCAGGGUGCCCGUGCCCAUGUGAAGCUCCUUCGACGAGUCGAGUUGUUUGGGAAUGCAGCUCUAAAUGGGUGGUAAAUUUCAUCUAAAGCUAAAUACCGGCCGGAGACCGAUAGCGCACAAGUAGAGUGAUCGAAAGAUGAAAAGCACUUUGAAAAGAGAGUUAAACAGCACGUGAAAUUGUUGAAAGGGAAGCGCUUGCGACCAGACUCGGCCCCGGGGUUCAGCCAGCACUCGUGCUGGUGUACUUCCCCGGGGGCGGGCCAGCGUCGGUUUGGGCGGCCGGUCAAAGGCCCCAGGAAUGUAUCGCCCUCCGGGGCGUCUUAUAGCCUGGGGUGCAAUGCGGCCAGCUUGGACCGAG
rnacentral:sRNA from 1 species